UACGUAGGGUGCGAGCGUUGUCCGGAAUUACUGGGCGUAAAGGGCUCGUAGGCGGCCAACUAAGUCGGAUGUGAAAUCCCCAGGCUUAACCUGGGAACUGCAUCCGAUACUGGAUGGCUUGAAUUCGGGAGAGGGAUGCAGAAUUCCAGGUGUAGCGGUGAAAUGCGUAGAUAUCUGGAGGAAUACCGGUGGCGAAGGCGGCAUCCUGGACCGACAUUGACGCUGAGGAGCGAAAAGCUAGGGGAGCAAACGGG
rnacentral:rRNA from 1 species